rnacentral:rRNA from 1 species
AGCGGCGGACGGGUGAGUAACGCGUAGGAAUCUACCUAGUAGAAGGGGAUAGCCCGGGGAAACCCGGAUUAAUACCGUAUACCUCCUUCGGGAGAAAGAAGGCCUCUCUUUGAAGCUUUCGCUAUUAGAUGAGCCUGCGUAAGAUUAGCUUGUUGGUGAGGUAAAGGCUCACCAAGGCGACGAUCUUUAGCUGGUCUGAGAGGACGAUCAGCCACAUUGGGACUGAGACACGGCCCAGACUCCUACGGGAGGCAGCAGUGGGGAAUAUUGGACAAUGGGCGCAAGCCUGAUCCAGCCAUACCGCGAGUGUGAAGAAGGCCUUCGGGUUGUAAAGCACUUUAAGCAGGGAGAAAAAGUUAUAAGUUAAUACCUUAUAACCGUGAUGUUACCUGCAGAAUAAGCACCGGCUAAUUCCGUGCCAGCAGCCGCGGUAAUACGGAAGGUGCAAGCGUUAAUCGGAAUUACUGGGCGUAAAGCGCGCGUAGGUGGUUUGUUAAGUUGGAUGUGAAAGCCCUGGGCUCAACCUAGGAACUGCAUCCAAAACUAACUCACUAGAGUACGAUAGAGGGAGGUAGAAUUCAUAGUGUAGCGGUGGAAUGCGUAGAUAUUAUGAAGAAUACCAGUGGCGAUGGCGGCCUCCUGGAUCUGUACUGACACUGAGGUGCGAAAGCGUGGGUAGCGAACAGGAUUAGAUACCCUGGUAGUCCACGCCGUAAACGAUGACAACUAGCUGUUGGAAGACAAUGUCUUUCAGUGGCGCAGCUAACGUUUUAAGUUGUCCGCCUGGGGAGUA